rnacentral:rRNA from 1 species
AGAGUUUGAUCCUGGCUCAGAGCGAACGUUAGCGGCGGGCUUAACACAUGCAAGUCGUACGAGAAAGCGUCCUUUGGGGCGUGAGUAAAGUGGCGCACGGGUGAGUAACACGUGGGUAAUCUACCCUCUGGCGCGGGACAACAGCCCGAAAGGGCUGCUAAUACCGCAUAAGUCGGAGACAGCAUAAGUUGUUUCCGGGAAAGGAUGGCCUCUGUUUCAUGCUAUCGCCGGAGGAUGAGCCCGCGUUCCAUCAGCUUGUUGGUGGGGUAAUAGCCCACCAAGGCUAUGACGGAUAGCUGGUCUGAGAGGAUGAUCAGCCACACUGGGACUGAGACACGGCCCAGACUCCUAUGGGAGGCAGCAGUGGGGAAUAUUGGACAAUGGGCGCAAGCCUGAUCCAGCCACGCCGCGUGUGUGAUGAAGGUUUUUGGAUCGUAAAGCACUGUGGGAAGGGAAGAAAAGCCUUGAGAACAAUACCUCAAGGUCUUGACGGUACCUACUUAGCAAGCACCGGCUAACUCCGUGUUAGUAGUUGUGGUAAUACGGAGGGUGCAAACGUUGCUCGGAAUCAUUGGGCGUAAAGCGCGUGUAGGCGGCUAUUUAAGUCGAGUGUGAAAGCCCUGGGCUCAACCCAGGAAGUGCGCUCGAUACUGGAUAGCUAGAGUACGGGAGAGGGUAGCGGAAUUCCCGGUGUAGAGGUGAAAUUUGUAGAUAUCGGGAGGAACACUAGUGGCGAAGGCGGCUGCCUGGACCGAUACUGACGCUGAGACGCGAAAGCGUGGGUAGCAAACAGGAUUAGAUAUCCUGGUAGUCCACGCCGUAAACGAUGAGUGCUAGGUGUCGCGGGUAUUGACCCCUGCGGUGCCGGAGUUAACGCAUUAAGCACUCCGCCUGGGGAGUACGGCCGCAAGGCUAAAACUCAAAGGAAUUGACGGGGGCCCGCACAAGCGGUGGAGCAUGUGGUUUAAUUUGAUCCAUGUGCAGAAUUUUACCUGGGUUGGAAACCUCUCGAAUCCUUUAGAGAUAGAGGAGUGCCCUUUGGGGAACGGGAUGUUUAGGUGCUGUAUGGCUGUCGUCAGCUCGUGUUGUGAGAUGUUGGGUUAAGUCCCGCAACGAGCGUAACCCUUGUCUUUAGUUGCCAGUAGUUUGGUUGGGUAUUCUAGAGAGACUGCCGGUGUUAAACCGGAGGAAGGUGGGGAUGACGUCAAGUCUUUAUGGCCCCUAUGUCCAGGGUUAUACACGUGCUAUAAUGGCAGAUAUAAUGGGUAGCGAUACUGUGAAGUGAAGCUAAUUCCUUAAAAUCUGCCUUAGUUCGGAUUGGAGUUUGUAAUUUGACUCCAUGAAGUUGGAAUCGCUAGUAAUCGGAGAUUAGAAUGCUCCGGUGAAUAUGUUUUCGGGCCUUGUAUAUACCGCCCGUCACACCAUGGGAGUCGGAUGCUCCAGAA